GAUGAACGCUGGCGGCGUGCUUAACACAUGCAAGUCGAACGGUGAGGGCGGAGCUUGCUCUGCUGGAUCAGUGGCGAACGGGUGAGUAACACGUGAGCAAUCUGCCCCUGACUCUGGGAUAAGCGCUGGAAACGGCGUCUAAUACUGGAUACGAGCUGCGAAGGCAUCUUCAGCAGCUGGAAAGAAUUUCGGUCAGGGAUGAGCUCGCGGCCUAUCAGCUUGUUGGUGAGGUAAUGGCUCACCAAGGCGUCGACGGGUAGCCGGCCUGAGAGGGUGACCGGCCACACUGGGACUGAGACACGGCCCAGACUCCUACGGGAGGCAGCAGUGGGGAAUAUUGCACAAUGGGCGAAAGCCUGAUGCAGCAACGCCGCGUGAGGGACGACGGCCUUCGGGUUGUAAACCUCUUUUAGCAGGGAAGAAGCGAAAGUGACGGUACCUGCAGAAAAAGCGCCGGCUAACUACGUA
rnacentral:rRNA from 1 species